CCGGAUCGCCGCCGAAGCCCGCUCUUCGCCGCCUCAGGCCGAACGGAGGAAGCGGGCGCGGCUGAGCCCGCCUGGCGACGGAAGAGCCCCUCACCGCCGCUGUGGGUCAGGUACCCCCUUUCCUUCUCCCCAGGCGGGAUGCGGCAGCGGCGACCGGCAACCUGCAGCUCGUGGUGCACGAGGGGCGGAUGAGGCGGGCUCCGCCCUGCCUCCUACUGGCCGGUGCAGAAUGGAACAUGAGGCCUUCCAGCUAGAAAAGCAACAUGUCCAUAAGGUCUAUGAAAGCACAGCCUCUUAUUUCAAUGACUUGCAAGGCAAAGCGUGGCCCCGGGUCCGACAGUUUCUACUUGAACAGAAGCCUGGCAGCCUGAUUGCAGAUAUUGGCUGUGGGACUGGAAAAUAUCUUGAUGUCAACCACCUAGUGUAUAAUCUUGGAUGCGAUUAUUGUGGCCCCUUAAUAGAGAUUGCAAGAAGUAAAGGCUGUGAAGUAAUGAUCUGUGAUAACCUACACCUCCCUUUUCGGGACCUGUGCUUCAAUGCCAUCAUCUCCGUGGGAGUGAUUCAUCAUUUCUCCACAAAACAAAGACGGAUCCAGGCGAUCCAGGAAAUGGUCAGGGUGCUGGUACCCGGUGGCCAAAUGAUGAUUUACGUCUGGGCUAUGGAGCAAAAAACCCGGCAUUUUGAGAAACAGGACAUAUUUGUCCCUUGGAACAAAGCCUUGUGUUCACGGUUGCUUUCAGAAUCCAACAACACUGGUAUUGCAUCCCCCACGGAAACUCAGACAAUGCACUCAAAGCCACCGAUAAGUUCAAAACGCAGCCACCCUGGUCUCCUUGAUCAGAAACAUCCUCUGAGAUUGGGUAACUGCCUCCCUGGAUCCUGCUGCGUGAAAAUUACUGAAGACGAAGAAAAAAGAUUUUACGGUGCCCUCGGGAGAUCUUUUCGUUCCUGGUUUUCCUCCAGAUCACUUGACGAGUCUGCCUUAAGAAAGCAAAAUGAAAAGAUGGAGCCCUUGAAGGAUGCGGUGGGAUGGACGAGCAACGCCAUUUCUAUUCAGCCCCUUAGGCACUGCAGUGUAGACUUAGGGUGUCAGUCAGCAUUGCUCAGGGAACGGCGGCUAGAUCACUAUGAUGACGUGUUUACAAAGUGCGUGGCUUGUAAAGAAAUCCAGCGGCUGGCAGCUUCAGGGUCCCUGAGGGGUUUUAACGGGGAGCCGGCUACAUUGGUCCAACACCACAACGGAGAAACCUCGUUUCUAAGAGGGUCUGUGGAAAACAUAAAGAAUAGCUGUAGCCAUCAAAGCAAGAGUCAUUCCUUUGCAGGAAAAGCCUUGAGAAGGAUUUCAUCUGUUAGCUCCAGUAACUCGGUGGUAGACUCAGCGGUGGCGGUGGGAGACUGCGCGGUUAACGGACAGGACCCCAGAGCCUUCAUGCGCUAUUACCAUGUUUUUCGCGAAGGGGAGCUGUGCUCUCUCCUCGAAGACAACGUUCCUGAGGUUCGCAUAAUAAUCUGGAAACUCUCUGACUGAUUUCAAGAAUGGUACCAACCAGUUGUGCUUUGGGGGAUGAAGUGAUCUCCAAUGGUCUCCAAGAUCAUUACAACCAUGGUGGUUUUGUCUAGACCAAGGUGUCCAACCUUGGCAACUGUAAGACCUGUGGACUUCAACUCCCAGAGUUCCCCAACUAGGGGAAUUCUGGAAGUUGAAGUCCACAAGUCUUAAAAGUUGCCAAGCUUGGACACUCUUGUUCUAGAACUAUACUCAGCAAUGUUACUACAUUCUGGUUUACUUGUCAGAAUGGCCUGGGUCUUAGUUCACACUACAGUUGGCAGAGUGUCAUUCAUCUUUCAUCCACACAACAAGCGAAAGAGAUUAUCCAUAUUCUUUUUCAAAGGGAGGUUUUGAACCGAGUUCCAUUUCUGAAUUUCAUUAGAACAUCUCUUGUUUUUGAGGCAUUGUUGCAGUGGGUUAUUUCCCCCCUACUUCUACAUCACAGUCGCUGUAGUCACAUAUUAAGGACAACUAUACUUGGAGCACAAUCAACAGAACUACGUAAAUAAUAGUGCUGUAAAUUUGCAGGAUUGCUUGGAGAAAUUUGAAAAGUUGUGUACCUGUUACUUGUGUUUGUAGAUUAAAUGCAUGCUACAAGUCAUAACAUGGGGUUCUAAAGAUGGGAGAAGACUCCAGUGCUGCUGCUCUUUCAUGUGACUUUAAAAAUUAUAUCUGGUCAAUAUAUGUGUGCCAAAGCAAAAAGGAUGCUUUGGAUAUUCACAGUUGCCAAGAAAAAACCAAGAAAACAGAACGGAGUUGACUAUGUCAUCUGUUAGAUGAGAUGCAAAACAAUCAUAGAUUUCCUUCCUACCAAUUCUUCCCCUUCCUACCACCUCAAUUAAGUGGAAGGAGCAAAAGGUUUAUUCAAAACAGGUUCCGCUGUUUUGAAGCCCUUUGAGUUGGCCCUAAAUGCAGCAUUGUUUGGUUAGGAUACAUCUAAAUCAUUACCACUCAGAAAUCCUGCAACUCAGAAAAUCUAUAAAAGUAGCAGAAAAAAAACAUUGGCUUGGUAUAAGGAUGAUGAGCUAGUACGGUGUUAAGUGCCUAGUAGUGAUCCAAGUACACACUGAACAGGAAGGCAUCCCUAAUACAAAUUUAGCUAGGUGAUAUGCUAAGUCUAAGACCUUUUGCAUUACAGAUACUGUAAUCCUUGACUUGCCACUAGAAAUGGGACCGGAAUUUCGGUCCUAUGUUAUUGAGGUCAUAAAUCGAGGCACCACCUGACUGGAAUUUAUACUUGGUUUUACGAAUGUGAUUAAGUAAAUCAUGGUUAAAUGAAACAAUGGUUAGUAAGUGAACCACACAGUUAUAAAUACCAACUCAUUUUAUCCAAUGAUAUUUUUUUUUUGCUGAAAAAUGCCAAAAAUGUUGCAAAACACAAUCAUCUGAUUGUGGAACCCUGCAACCGAUCAUAAAUAUGAGCCAAGUGGCCAAAAUGCAAUUAUGUGACCACAGCGGUGAUGUCGCAGUCGUAACUUUGAGGAUGGGUCGUAAGUAACUUUUUUUUCUAGUCCAGGGAUAGGCAACCCUGGCUCUUUUAUGACUCGUGGACUUCAACUCCCAGAAUUCCUGAGCCAGCCAUGCUGAGAGGAAAGGGAGAGG